rnacentral:lncRNA from 1 species
CGGCCGCUGCCAGUGUCGCGAGCGCACGUUCGGCGCGCGCUGUGAUCGCUAUUGCCAGUGCUUCCGCGGUCGCUGCCACCCGGUGGACGGCACGUGCGCCUGCGACCCGGGCUACCGGGGCAAGUAUUGUCGUGAGCCAUGCCCCGCUGGCUUCUACGGCCUCGGGUGUCGCCGUCGGUAAGCGUUACGGGCUGGUGGCGGGAAGGCGGAAGGGCGAAGCGGAGCUCCAUCCGGCCCAGCUUCCUGACCCUUCCGUAGGUGUGGCCAAUGCAAAGGCCAGCAGCCGUGCACAGUAGUCGAAGGCCGCUGUCUGACGUGCGAACCCGGCUGGAACGGAACCAAAUGUGACCAACCCUGCGCCACUGGUUUUUAUGGCGAGGGUUGUGGCCACCGCUGUCCACCCUGCCGCGAUGGGCAUGCCUGCAACCAUGUCACCGGCAAGUGUACGCACUGCAAUGCGGGCUGGAUCGGCGACCGGUGCGAGACUAAGUGCAGUAAUGGCACUUACGGUGAGGACUGUGCCUUCGUGUGUUCUGACUGCGGCAGCGGCCACUGUGACUUCCAGUCCGGGCGCUGCCUUUGCAGCCCUGGUGUUCACGGACCUCACUGUAAUGUAACUUGCCCGGCCGGGCUCCAUGGUGUGGACUGCGCCCAGGCCUGCAGCUGUCACGAGGAAUCAUGCGACCCGGUCACCGGGGCCUGCCACCUGGGUGAGUGGGUGAAGAACGUCGGGCCAGGGAAUGAAGUGGGGUGCGUGAUCCUGCGCUGAGCCGCUGCUCCCCACAGAGACCAAUCAGCGCAAAGGUGUGAUGGGCGCCGGCGCGCUGCUCACGCUGCUCCUCGGCCUGCUGCUCUCGCUGCUCGGUUGUUGCUGUGCCUGCCGGGGCAAGGACUCGGCGCGCCGGUGAGGCCCCAAGGCAGCCCCCCACCCACCGCUUGGUUUAGGUAGCCCGCUCUGUGUGACUGGGUGUGCUUCUUGAACCCAGACCCCACUCCUGAGGCAGGGCCCAGUCCUUUAUUUCUUCAGGGUCUCCUCUUUCUGUUCCCACCCAAUUUGAACCGCCCCGCCCAGUCCCGCCCCGCCCCUUCGCUCAGGCCCCGCCCCCGCAGGGAGCUCACCCUCGGAAGGAAGAAGGCACCUCAACGCUUUUGUGGAAGCUUCAGCCGCAUCAGCAUGAAGCUACCCCGAAUCCCGCUUCGCAGGCAGAAGCUGCCCAAAGUCGUAGUGGCCCAUCAUGACUUAGACAACACGCUCAACUGCAGUUUCCUGGAACCACCUUCAGGGCUGGAGCAGCCCUCUCCAUCAUGGUCCUCCAGGGCCUCCUUCUCAUCAUUUGACACCACAGAUGAAGGCCCUGUGUACUGUGUGCCCCACGA